ensembl:lncRNA H19 H19 imprinted maternally expressed transcript
AUGGGCCCGUUCCAGGCAGAAAGAGCAAGAGGGCAGGGAGGGAGCACAGGGGUGGCCAGCGUAGGGUCCAGCACGUGGGGUGGUACCCCAGGCCUGGGUCAGACAGGGACAUGGCAGGGGACACAGGACAGAGGGGUCCCCAGCUGCCACCUCACCCACCGCAAUUCAUUUAGUAGCAGGCACAGGGGCAGCUCCGGCACGGCUUUCUCAGGCCUAUGCCGGAGCCUCGAGGGCUGGAGAGCGGGAAGACAGGCAGUGCUCGGGGAGUUGCAGCAGGACGUCACCAGGAGGGCGAAGCGGCCACGGGAGGGGGGCCCCGGGACAUUGCGCAGCAAGGAGGCUGCAGGGGCUCGGCCUGCGGGCGCCGGUCCCACGAGGCACUGCGGCCCAGGGUCUGGUGCGGAGAGGGCCCACAGUGGACUUGGUGACGCUGUAUGCCCUCACCGCUCAGCCCCUGGGGCUGGCUUGGCAGACAGUACAGCAUCCAGGGGAGUCAAGGGCAUGGGGCGAGACCAGACUAGGCGAGGCGGGCGGGGCGGAGUGAAUGAGCUCUCAGGAGGGAGGAUGGUGCAGGCAGGGGUGAGGAGCGCAGCGGGCGGCGAGCGGGAGGCACUGGCCUCCAGAGCCCGUGGCCAAGGCGGGCCUCGCGGGCGGCGACGGAGCCGGGAUCGGUGCCUCAGCGUUCGGGCUGGAGACGAGGCCAGGUCUCCAGCUGGGGUGGACGUGCCCACCAGCUGCCGAAGGCCAAGACGCCAGGUCCGGUGGACGUGACAAGCAGGACAUGACAUGGUCCGGUGUGACGGCGAGGACAGAGGAGGCGCGUCCGGCCUUCCUGAACACCUUAGGCUGGUGGGGCUGCGGCAAGAAGCGGGUCUGUUUCUUUACUUCCUCCACGGAGUCGGCACACUAUGGCUGCCCUCUGGGCUCCCAGAACCCACAACAUGAAAGAAAUGGUGCUACCCAGCUCAAGCCUGGGCCUUUGAAUCCGGACACAAAACCCUCUAGCUUGGAAAUGAAUAUGCUGCACUUUACAACCACUGCACUACCUGACUCAGGAAUCGGCUCUGGAAGGUGAGCACCAGCGCUCCUUCCGGAAGCCUCCAGGCCCCCGAGCACCCUGCCCCCAUCCCACCCACGUGUCGCUAUCUCUAGGUGAAGCUAGAGGAACCAGACCUCAUCAGCCCAACAUCAAAGACACCAUCGGAACAGCAGCGCCCGCAGCACCCACCCCGCACCGGCGACUCCAUCUUCAUGGCCACCCCCUGCGGCGGACGGUUGACCACCAGCCACCACAUCAUCCCAGAGCUGAGCUCCUCCAGCGGGAUGACGCCGUCCCCACCACCUCCCUCUUCUUCUUUUUCAUCCUUCUGUCUCUUUGUUUCUGAGCUUUCCUGUCUUUCCUUUUUUCUGAGAGAUUCAAAGCCUCCACGACUCUGUUUCCCCCGUCCCUUCUGAAUUUAAUUUGCACUAAGUCAUUUGCACUGGUUGGAGUUGUGGAGACGGCCUUGAGUCUCAGUACGAGUGUGCGUGAGUGUGAGCCACCUUGGCAAGUGCCUGUGCAGGGCCCGGCCGCCCUCCAUCUGGGCCGGGUGACUGGGCGCCGGCUGUGUGCCCGAGGCCUCACCCUGCCCUCGCCUAGUCUGGAAGCUCCGACCGACAUCACGGAGCAGCCUUCAAGCAUUCCAUUACGCCCCAUCUCGCUCUGUGCCCCUCCCCACCAGGGCUUCAGCAGGAGCCCUGGACUCAUCAUCAAUAAACACUGUUACAGCAA